rnacentral:rRNA from 1 species
UACGUAGGGGGCUAGCGUUAUCCGGAUUUACUGGGCGUAAAGGGUGCGUAGGCGGCUUUUUAAGUCAGCGGUGAAAUUUUGCAGCUUAACUGUAACAGUGCCGUUGAUACUGGGGAGCUAGGAUUUGGUUGCUGUGGGUGGAAUGUGUGGUGUAGCGGUGAAAUGCUUAGAGAUCACACAGAAUAUCGAUUGCGAAGGCAGCUCACAAAGCCAAGAUUGACGCUGAGGCACGAAAGUGUGGGGAUCAAACAGGAUUAGA